rnacentral:rRNA from 1 species
AUAAUGGGUCAGCGACUUAUAUUCUGUAGCAAGGUUAACCGAAUAGGGGAGCCGAAGGGAAACCGAGUCUUAACUGGGCGUUAAGUUGCAGGGUAUAGACCCGAAACCCGGUGAUCUAGCCAUGGGCAGGUUGAAGGUUGGGUAACACUAACUGGAGGACCGAACCGACUAAUGUUGAAAAAUUAGCGGAUGACUUGUGGCUGGGGGUGAAAGGCCAAUCAAACCGGGAGAUAGCUGGUUCUCCCCGAAAGCUAUUUAGGUAGCGCCUCGUGAAUUCAUCUCCGGGGGUAGAGCACUGUUUCGGCAAGGGGGUCAUCCCGACUUACCAACCCGAUGCAAACUGCGAAUACCGGAGAAUGUUAUCACGGGAGACACACGGCGGGUGCUAACGUCCGUCGUGAAGAGGGAAACAACCCAGACCGCCAGCUAAGGUCCCAAAGUCAUGGUUAAGUGGGAAACGAUGUGGGAAGGCCCAGACAGCCAGGAUGUUGGCUUAGAAGCAGCCAUCAUUUAAAGAAAGCGUAAUAGCUCACUGGUCGAGUCGGCCUGCGCGGAAGAUGUAACGGGGCUAAACCAUGCACCGAAGCUGCGGCAGCGACACUAUGUGUUGUUGGGUAGGGGAGCGUUCUGUAAGCCUGUGAAGGUGGCCUGUGAGGGUUGCUGGAGGUAUCAGAAGUGCGAAUGCUGACAUAAGUAACGAUAAAGCGGGUGAAAAGCCCGCUCGCCGGAAGACCAAGGGUUCCUGUCCAACGUUAAUCGGGGCAGGGUGAGUCGACCCCUAAGGCGAGGCCGAAAGGCGUAGUCGAUGGGAAACAGGUUAAUAUUCCUGUACUUGGUGUUACUGCGAAGGGGGGACGGAGAAGGCUAUGUUGGCCGGGCGACGGUUGUCCCGGUUUAAGCGUGUAGGCUGGUUUUCCAGGCAAAUCCGGAAAACCAAGGCUGAGGCGUGAUGACGAGGCACUACGGUGCUGAAGCGACAAAUGCCCUGCUUCCAGGAAAAGCCUCUAAGCAUCAGGUAACAUCAAAUCGUACCCCAAACCGACACAGGUGGUCAGGUAGAGAAUACCAAGGCGCUUGAGAGAACUCGGGUGAAGGAACUAGGCAAAAUGGUGCCGUAACUUCGGGAGAAGGCACGCUGAUAUGUAGGUGAAGCGACUUGCUCGUGGAGCUGAAAUCAGUCGAAGAUACCAGCUGGCUGCAACUGUUUAUUAAAAACACAGCACUGUGCAAACACGAAAGUGGACGUAUACGGUGUGACGCCUGCCCGGUGCCGGAAGGUUAAUUGAUGGGGUUAGCGGUAACGCGAAGCUCUUGAUCGAAGCCCCGGUAAACGGCGGCCGUAACUAUAACGGUCCUAAGGUAGCGAAAUUCCUUGUCGGGUAAGUUCCGACCUGCACGAAUGGCGUAAUGAUGGCCAGGCUGUCUCCACCCGAGACUCAGUGAAAUUGAACUCGCUGUGAAGAUGCAGUGUACCCGCGGCAAGACGGAAAGACCCCGUGAACCUUUACUAUAGCUUGACACUGAACAUUGAGCCUUGAUGUGUAGGAUAGGUGGGAGGCUUUGAAGUGUGGACGCCAGUCUGCAUGGAGCCGACCUUGAAAUACCACCCUUUAAUGUUUGAUGUUCUAACGUUGGCCCGUAAUCCGGGUUGCGGACAGUGUCUGGUGGGUAGUUUGACUGGGGCGGUCUCCUCCUAAAGAGUAACGGAGGAGCACGAAGGUUGGCUAAUCCUGGUCGGACAUCAGGAGGUUAGUGCAAUGGCAUAAGCCAGCUUGACUGCGAGCGUGACGGCGCGAGCAGGUGCGAAAGCAGGUCAUAGUGAUCCGGUGGUUCUGAAUGGAAGGGCCAUCGCUCAACGGAUAAAAGGUACUCCGGGGAUAACAGGCUGAUACCGCCCAAGAGUUCAUAUCGACGGCGGUGUUUGGCACCUCGAUGUCGGCUCAUCACAUCCUGGGGCUGAAGUAGGUCCCAAGGGUAUGGCUGUUCGCCAUUUAAAGUGGUACGCGAGCUGGGUUUAGAACGUCGUGAGACAGUUCGGUCCCUAUCUGCCGUGGGCGCUGGAGAACUGAGGGGGGCUGCUCCUAGUACGAGAGGACCGGAGUGGACGCAUCACUGGUGUUCGGGUUGUCAUGCCAAUGGCACUGCCCGGUAGCUAAAUGCGGAAGAGAUAAGUGCUGAAAGCAUCUAAGCACGAAACUUGCCCCGAGAUGAGUUCUCCCUGAGACUUAGAGUCUCCUGAAGGAACGUUGAAGACGACGACGUUGAUAGGCCGGGUGUGUAAGCGCAGCGAUGCGUUGAGCUAACCGGUACUAAUGAACCGUGAG